rnacentral:rRNA from 1 species
GACGUAGGAGGCAAGCGUUGUUCGGAAUUACUGGGCGUAAAGCGUCCGUAGGCGGUCUGUCACGUCGGGAGUGAAAACUCAGGGCUUAACCCUGAGCCUGCUUCCGAUACGGGCAGACUAGAGGUAUGCAGGGGAGAACGGAAUUCCUGGUGUAGCGGUGAAAUGCGCAGAUAUCAGGAGGAACACCGGUGGCGAAGGCGGUUCUCUGGGCAUUACCUGACGCUGAGGAGCGAAAGUGUGGGGAGCGAACAGG